GGCAGCAUGGUAUAGUGGUUAGAAUGUUGGACCAUGGCUCUGGAAACCAGGGUUCGAUUUCCAGCUCAGCCA